rnacentral:lncRNA from 10 species
UCUAAUUAAAAUUAUUGAUAGAAGAGUAUUAAAAACUCUCACUGCAACUUCAGAUUGGUGCAUUUCUUCUUGACAUUCCAUUAGAUUUUGCUUCAGAUAUUUUGAGUCUCUGUUACUAUGUGUAUACUGCUUAAGAUUGCUAUGCUCUCUUGAUGAAUUUACCCUCUAAUAUUAUUAAAGGAUACAUUUUUUUCCCGGAUAAUAUUUUUUCUCUGAAAUCAAACUUGUUAAGCAGUAACGUAGCAUCUCCAGCUUUCUUUUAAUAUCAACUUUCAAAAAUUAGUAUUAGUAUGAUUAUUGUUAGAUGUCAUUAUCUGUUCUUACGCUUGAACCCCUUUGUUUCUUUAAAGUGAGUUUCUCGUAGGUAGUGGAUAAUUACAUUUUGCUUUUGUAUUCAUUCUAACAAUCCACAAGUUUUAGUUUUGUUGUUUAGACAAUCUACAUUUUAUAUUACUUUUGAUAAAAAUAAUAAUGUUAAGAAAGAAGUCUUUUAUAUCAGCCCUAAGGCAUGCCAUCUGAGGCUCUUUUUUUUAAUAAAUGCAGAUUUCAAUCUGUUAUCAUUUUCCUCACUUUCCUUCUGCCUGGGGGACUUUUCUUCACAUUUUUCAUAAUGUAAGAUGAUUGGUAAUUAAUGAUUUCAUCAAUUGCCUGUGUCUUGUUUUUGCCUUUAUUUUUUGUGAAUAAUUGUUUUCAUUGAAUCUACAACUCUAGGUUGACUUGUAUUGUUUGCUCAUUUUUGUUAUUUUCCUUUCAGUUAUUUAAAGAUAUUUUCCUACUGUCCACCAUGCAUUUUUUCUGAUGAGAGGUAAUCUAUCAUUCUAAUUUCUUUCUCUCUGUGUCUUGUGUAUUUUUUUUUCUGAUUGCUUUUAAAAUUUCCUCUUUAAUGCCAGUUUUAAGCAAUUCAAUAAAGAUGUACUUUGUUUUAGUUUAUGUCAUAUUUUAUUGAGCUCAUGGAUCUGAGAGUUUACAGUUUUAAUAAAAUAUGCAAAAAUAUCCAUUAUUUCUUGUGGCAUUUUCUGCCCACACCCUAUUUUCUGGGAAUCCAAUUGCACAUGCCUUAGGCUACUUGCUUUGCAUGCUUUGUCUCACAGUUCACUGAACCUCUGUUUAUUUUUUUUCAUUCUUCUUUUUUUCUAGGUUACAGUCUGUAUAGUUUAUGAUGCUAUAUUUUCAGAAUUACUAAUAUUUUUAUCUGGAAUAUUUCAUAUGGAAUAAAUUUUAUAAUUUUUAUUUUUCAUGUACUUUAAUAUGAUAUUUUCUCUCUCAGGAUAUGAUUUUGGUCUUUUAAAUAUAUUUAUUUAUUGACUUAGCACGGUCAAACUUUCUGCAGCUUUUUGGCAACACAGAAUAAAGUUAUUUUAACUGCUUUAAUGUCUUUAUGUACUAAUUAUGUCAUCUAUACUAUUUCUGGAUUAAUUACCAUUACUUUUUUUUUUCUUUUUGGUCUUACUCUUAAGUUGUGGUAUGUGGGACCAGAGAAAUAUCUGCUCGAGAAAACUUUGGCUUACUGCUGACGCCAAACUGUGGUGUUUAUUCUACCUGAUGCCUCAUUAAUUAAGAGGGUUUCCAACUGGCUGCUGGGACGAGCAACUUUUUCAAGCUACUAAGCUCUGGAGUUUUUUCAUUCUUCUACCUCCUGCCUUGGGUAUUUUUUUUUUUUUUUUUUUUUUGGCAUAUAUGCUCCAGUAAGUUUUCAAUUAAUAUUAAGAGGGAGAAAAAUUUUCAAAUCUGUGAAAGAUUCUCUCUGUGCAGUUUUCUCCUUCUAUUACUCUCUGCAUUAAGUUUUUUUUUCCUCCUUGGCCUCUUCAUACUCUCAGCAAUGUCUUUUCAACUCAGGAAUAUUCCUGGACUCUGCCUAGUAAACUGGAGGCCAAGAACGGAGCAAUCAUACUGCUCUCUUUGCUUGCUGUCUGUCAGCAACCAUUGUUCUUUGUCUGAUGUUAAAUAUUUUGGAUACUGUUGCUUUAUAUAUACUUUUAUUUUACAAUUUUUUCCAACAGAAGUGUAAAUCAGUUUUCUGUUACUGCAUCUUGUCAAGAAAAAUAAUAUAAAGUUACAUUUUAAAACAAAUUACUCAUUAAGUAACUAAAACCUUUUUUACGACAUAUAUGCAAUUUAUUUCAUCAGGAAGAUGUUAAUGAAUAUAAAAUGACUUUCAUUGAUGUGCCUUGUUUGAUUUUUAUACAUAAACUGUGUAGAAUAUCAUAUCUUCAACAAUUUUUAAAUGAAAGAUAAUCUUGAAUAACAGUAUAUCACAAACUUUACACUUAACUAUCCCAAGGAGGAUUGAUGCAUUAUUGCUGGCUCUGAACUGUAAAGAUCAAGCUACAAAAAUGGUGAGAAGGCUCUUGGUGCUGAGGAUAGCCACGUGAGGACAGUCAGCAAAGAAAAAAGGAACACUAAGUUUUAGGUAGUUAGUUAUGGAAGAAAUAAGAAAAAGAAUGCACACCAUUUCCCAUUGUCUCUAGCUGCUCAUGGAAUAAAAUUUUAGAUGUCAUGUUUUGGUCUGGAGUUUAAUCUGGAAUCUAAAACAAAUUAUAAUUAAGUCCAUUAGGGGUUGGAAACUACUCUUUUGCCUCAUUACUCAGUGUUCUAAAGCUGAUAUGUAGAUUUCAUCAAUGCAUCCAACUCAUGCUGACAGGAGUCUAUUGUUCCAGCUUUCUUAAACAAUUUAGCAGGCUGUUAUCACUCAUAACAUAACAUUGAAAAAUCACCCACUUAUCGAUAGUCCCAUUAGGUCUACCACAUGAAGUCAUGUAUUCUCACAGAAUGGACAUAUACAAUGGGAGGUAAUAGCAAGUAAAUAAUAGAAUGGUUUCUGAAAUCAAGAGAAUGGUUGUUUGGCACCCUUGUGAUUCUGAAGCUGUUAUGUAUUUUUAGCUUAUUUAUUUGUAAUAGGACAUAAGAUAAAAUAUUUUGUGGCAAAGUUUCAUAGUCAUAAUAGAAAUAGUAAAUGGUUGAAUUUUUCAUUUCCUGCUUUAAAUACCCAAAUUAGAACUUUGCAUAAGUCCUAAUAAAAAUACAAUCAAUUAUUUGUUAUUUGUGUUAAGGUGCUAUGUAAUUCAUGCAAUGCAUAAUAAAAAUUAGUGAAUAGUCCAAACGUUAUUUAAAUUAAAUAUUGGCAUAAAUACAGGUGUCUCUGAUUUUUUAGAAUAGAUGCUAUGGCAUAUACAUUAAAUUGUUAUAGCAAAUUUAUGGUUAAAAGAAAGUUUCUUCUGUAACUUCUCUGAUUUUCCUGACCAAUAAUGCUAUCUGUUGGGCAUGAGGAGCACUAUAAUCUAUACUCUGAAGAUACCUUUUACUUGCUUUGGGCCAUUUAUCACGUAAAAUAGAACAGACUGGCUUAUAUUUUGCUUGAAAAUGUAUCAUGUACUUUGCAAGUGUAAAGGAUAAUGUAUGCUCAUCUGGAAGUUAUUUUACAUCAAUAAGUUUAUGAAUUUUUUUUCAAAGCUGAAAAUAUUUUGACAUUAUAGUUUAAGUACAAAUGUGUUGUGUACACACACAUAUUGUAUUGUAAAUAUGUGUAUUUGGUAUUAAAAAGUUUGCCUUCCCAAAUGUGCUUUUCCUUAAAUUAUAUUUACUUUAUCCAAUAUAAAUCAUAUGAUUUGGUGGAGUGAAGUGUAUCUAAAAUUUUGAUCUCAAAAAGGAAAGCAAUUUAGAUGAUGUGAAAGGAAGUUACUUGUAAGAACUAGUGAGAGCAUUUUAAGCCGAAUAUUUAGGGAAAAAUUCAUAGUGCAGUGUGCUGAAGAGUGAACAGAAGAUAAGAAAUUUGAAACUGAAUGAAAUGUUACUUUUCCAGCAACUUGAUUAUGCAUAUAAAGGAGCUGUAAAUUAUAUACUAAAAGUAGAAAGAAACACUUAUUAUAAAAAUAUUUUAAUAAAAUAAUACAUAAAUAUUCCAGAAAACUUAAUAACAAAACUUAUACAACACUUGAAUUGUCAUCAUAGUUUCACCUACAAUCCACACUCUUCCUUUUCUUUCCUAAUCUAUUACAAAUUAAUUUUGAAAACAAUAUUUUACAUUAGCAGAAAACUUGAAAUAAUACUGAUACAGUAUUGUAUGAUUUUAACCUGUUAAU